rnacentral:rRNA from 1 species
CCUACGGGAGGCAGCAGUGGGGAAUAUUGCACAAUGGGCGCAAGCCUGAUGCAGCGACGCCGCGUGAGGGAUGACGGCCUUCGGGUUGUAAACCUCUUUCAGUAGGGAAGAAGCGAAAGUGACGGUACCUGCAGAAGAAGCGCCGGCUAACUACGUGCCAGCAGCCGCGGUAAUACGUAGGGCGCAAGCGUUAUCCGGAAUUAUUGGGCGUAAAGAGCUCGUAGGCGGUUUGUCGCGUCUGCCGUGAAAGUCCGGGGCUCAACUCCGGAUCUGCGGUGGGUACGGGCAGACUAGAGUGAUGUAGGGGAGACUGGAAUUCCUGGUGUAGCGGUGAAAUGCGCAGAUAUCAGGAGGAACACCGAUGGCGAAGGCAGGUCUCUGGGCAUUAACUGACGCUGAGGAGCGAAAGCAUGGGGAGCGAACAGGAUUAGAUACCCUGGUAGUCCAUGCCGUAAACGUUGGGCACUAGGUGUGGGGGACAUUCCACGUUUUCCGCGCCGUAGCUAACGCAUUAAGUGCCCCGCCUGGGGAGUACGGCCGCAAGGCUAAAACGUCAAAGGAAUUGACGGCUGAGACGNGCGACGACGACGACGAGGGAGAGG